rnacentral:rRNA from 1 species
UACGUGAGGGGGCAAGCGUUUAGUCCGGGAUUUAUUGGGCGUAAAAGCGCUCGCAGGUGGUUCGUAAUGCGUCGAUGCCGGUGAAAGCCCCGGCUCAACUGGGGAGUGUCGUGCGAUACGGUCGGGACUGGAAGGCCAGGUAGGGGGAUAGUCCGGGAAUUCCGGGUGUAGGUGGUAGGAAUGCGUAGAGAUCCGGAGGAA